GUUGUUACGUCCGUCGUCGGAAUGAGACCAAAGCACAGCGUGGAAAGUGUACAUCUUACUUUAUUUUAGAUGAAUGAGUUUUUAGAAUGUCACCAGAGGAGAUGGCUGACGUUUUACGGGCUCCUAACCAAUUGUGCUAUUUUGUGUGUUUUUUCACGUUGUUUGUAACUUAUUUUUUAUGUAAUGUUUCUGCCACCAUCUCUUAUGACCGAAAAAAGCUUCUGGAUAUCAGAACAGCGAUUAUUUACCUCGUCUAACGAGUCGGACGCAAAGGAUUUACUUCCCGUCAUUCGCUUGAAGAAAAGACACCGAUACUGGGGACGCAGGUCCGGGUGCCUUGUUAUAAUUUGUUGGCGAAUGGGUAACCUGUCUUUACCAUCCGUCCUAUUGGCCAAUGUGCAAUUAUUGGAGAAUAAACUGGAUGAGCUCUGUUCAAAACUAUCCGACAAAUGGGACAUUAAAAACUGUAAUAUCUUAUACUUCACCAAGUCGUGGCUGAACGAUGAUAUGGAUAAUAUACAAUUGCCUGGUUGUUCUGUGCAUUGGCAAGACAGAACAGCUGCAUCUGAUCCACAGAUGACGCAAUCUCUAUUGCAUUCAACACUGCCCUUUCCCACCUGGAUAAAAGGAACAACUAUGUGAGAAUGCUGUUCAUUGACUACAGCUCAGGGUUCAACAACAUUGUGCCCUCAAAGCUCAUCACUUAGCUAAGGAUCCUAGGACUAAACACCUCCCUCUGAAACUGGAUCCUGGACUUCUUGACAGGCCAACCCCAGGUGGCAAGGGUAGGCAACAACACAUCUUCCACGCUGAUCCCAGGGGUGCAUGCUUAGUCCCCUCCUGUACUCCCUGUUCACCCAUGACUGGGUGGCCAAGCACGACUCCAACAUUAAGUUUGCCGCCGACACAACGGUGGUAGGCCUGAUCAUCCACAACGAUGAGACAGCCUAUAGGGAGGAGGUCAGAGACCUGGCAGUGUGGUACAUCACUGGGGACAAGCUUCCUGCCAUCCAGGACCUAUAUUAUAGGCUGUGCCCAAAAAUUGUCAGAGACUCCAGUCACCUAAGUCAUAGACUGUUUUCUCUGAUACCGCACGGCAAGCGCACCCUGGUUAUAGCCUCGUUA
ensembl:lncRNA